rnacentral:rRNA from 1 species
AUUGAACGCUGGCGGCAUGCCUUACACAUGCAAGUCGAACGGCAGCACGGGAGCAAUCCUGGUGGCGAGUGGCGAACGGGUGAGUAAUAUAUCGGAACGUGCCCAGUCGUGGGGGAUAACGUAGCGAAAGCUACGCUAAUACCGCAUACGAUCUAUGGAUGAAAGCGGGGGGUCGCAAGACCUCGCGCGAUUGGAGCGGCCGAUAUCAGAUUAGGUAGUUGGUGGGGUAAAGGAUCACCAAGCCGACGAUCUGUAGCUGGUCUGAGAGGACGAGCAGCAACACUGGGACUGAGAGACGGCGCAGACUCCUACGGAAGGCAGCAGUGGGGAAUUUUGGACAAUGGGCGCAAGCCUGAUCCAGCAAUGCCGCGUGCAGGAUGAAGGCCUUCGGGUUGUAAACUGCUUUUGUACGGAGCGAAAAGGCUUCCACUAAUACUGGGGGCUCAUGACGGUACCGUAAGAAUAAGCACCGGCUAACUACGUGCCAGCAGCCGCGGUAAUAC